rnacentral:rRNA from 1 species
UGCCUACGGGGCGCAGCAGUGAGGAAUAUUGGUCAAUGGGCGGGAGCCUGAACCAGCCAAGCCGCGUGAAGGAAGAAGGCGCCAGGCGUCGUAAACUUCUUUUGUCGGGGAACAAAGGGCGCCACGUGUGGCGUUGUGAGUGUACCCGAAGAAAAAGCAUCGGCUAACUCCGUGCCAGCAGCCGCGGUAAUACGGAGGAUGCGAGCGUUAUCCGGAUUUAUUGGGUUUAAAGGGUGCGUAGGCGGGCUUUUAAGUCAGCGGUAAAAAUUCGGGGCUCAACCCCGUCCGGCCGUUGAAACUGGGGG